rnacentral:rRNA from 1 species
CCAGGUCAGGCGGGGCUACCCGCUGAGUUUAAGCAUAUCAAUAAG